rnacentral:tRNA from 1 species
GCCAGUGUGGCGUAGUGGUUUGAGGGCUGAACUAUGACUCUGGAGACCAGGGUUCGAUUCCCGCUUGGCCA